GGGCUCAGUAGUUGUGGUACUCAGACUUAGCUGCCCUGGAACACGUGGGAUCAUUUCCCUGACCAGGGAUCAAACCCAUGUCUCCUGCACUGGAAGGCAGGUUCUUAACCACUGGACCACUAGCAGAUUGGAGCAAGAGACACUCUUUUACAAGAGACAUGCUUCUACUUUGCUUAAAAAAAGCAAACUAUCCUGUGUGACUGUCUGGGAGGAGGGCUACAUGGAAGGAAACCCAGGACCCGAGGAUAGCUUCCAGUCAACAGCCAGUAAGAAGUCAGCACCCUCAGUCACAGAGCUGCAAAUGACUUCUGCCAACAACCUGAAUGAGCUUGAAAAUGAAUGCUCCCUAGUUGAGCCUUCACUUAGGACACAGCCUGACUGACAUGUUGAUUUCAGCCUUGUGAGUAUAAGCCC
ensembl:lncRNA